CGCAGCCCCGUCAGAUCCCAGCUCUAUCCUCAGUCGUUCUUCCUGAUUUAUGGGGGAUACCAUGCAAGACCCCCAAUGCAGGCCUGAAACCUCAGCAUCUUGCAAUGUUGGGCCCUUCAAGUUUGACUUUUUUCACUCAGUGCAAUGCCUUUGAAUCAAACAUGCUGUUG